GAUGAACGCUAGCGACAGGCCUAACACAUGCAAGUCGAGGGGCAGCACAUGAGUAGCAAUACGAUGGUGGCGACCGGCGCACGGGUGAGUAACACGUAUGCAACCUGCCUGUAAGAGGGGAAUAACCCGGAGAAAUUCGGACUAAUACCGCAUAAUACCACGAGACUGCACGGUUUUGUGGUUAAACAUUUAUGGCUUACAGAUGGGCAUGCGUAUGAUUAGAUAGUUGGUAGGGUAACGGCCUACCAAGUCUACGAUCAUUAGGGGUUCUGAGAGGAAGGUCCCCCACACUGGUACUGAGACACGGACCAGACUCCUACGGGAGGCAGCAGUGAGGAAUAUUGGUCAAUGGGCGAGAGCCUGAACCAGCCAAGUCGCGUGAAGGAAGAAGGUUCUAUGGAUUGUAAACUUCUUUUGCAGGGGAAUAAAGGACGGUACGUGUACUGUUUUGUAUGUACCUUGCGAAUAAGGAUCGGCUAACUCCGUGCCAGCAGCCGCGGUAA
rnacentral:rRNA from 1 species